rnacentral:rRNA from 1 species
AAGGCGAGGCCGAAAGGCGUAGUCGAUGGGAAACAGGUUAAUAUUCCUGUACUUGGUGUUACUGCGAAGGGGGGACGGAGAAGGCUAUGUUGGCCGGGCGACGGUUGUCCCGGUUUAAGCGUGUAGGCUGGUUUUCCAGGCAAAUCCGGAAAAUCAAGGCUGAGGCGUGAUGACGAGGCACUACGGUGCUGAAGCAACAAAUGCCCUGCUUCCAGGAAAAGCCUCUAAGCAUCAGGUACAUCAAAUCGUACCCCAAGCCGACACAGGUGGUCAGGUAGAGAAUACCAAGGCGCUUGAGAGAACUCGGGUGUAGGAACUAGGCAAAAUGGUGCCGUAACUUCGGGAGAAGGCACGCUGAUAUGUAGGUGAAGCGACUUGCUCGUGGAGCUGAAAUCAGUCGAAGAUACCAGCUGGCUGCAACUGUUUAUUAAAAACACAGCACUGUGCAAACACGAAAGUGGACGUAUACGGUGUGACGCCUCCCCGGUGCCGGAAGGUUAAUUGAUGGGGUUAGCGCAAGCGAAGCUCUUGAUCGAAGCCCCGGUAAACGGCGGCCGUAACUAUAACGGUCCUAAGGUAGCGAAAUUCCUUGUCGGGUAAGUUCCGACCUGCACGAAUGGCGUAAUGAUGGCCAGGCUGUCUCCACCCGAGACUCAGUGAAAUUGAACUCGCUGUGAAGAUGCGGUGUACCCGCGGCAAGACGGAAAGACCCCGUGAACCUUUACUAUAGCUUGACACUGAACAUUGAGCCUUGAUGUGUAGGAUAGGUGGGAGGCUUUGAAGUGUGGACGCCAGUCUGCAUGGAGCCGACCUUGAAAUACCACCCUUUAAUGUUUGAUGUUCUAACGUUGACCCGUAAUCCGGGUUGCGGACAGUGUCUGGUGGGUAGUUUGACUGGGGCGGUCUCCUCCUAAAGAGUAACGGAGGAGCACGAAGGUUGGCUAAUCCUGGUCGGACAUCAGGAGGUUAGUGCAAUGGCAUAAGCCAGCUUGACUGCGAGCGUGACGGCGCGAGCAGGUGCGAAAGCAGGUCAUAGUGAUCCGGUGGUUCUGAAUGGAAGGGCCAUCGCUCAACGGAUAAAAGGUACUCCGGGGAUAACAGGCUGAUACCGCCCAAGAGUUCAUAUCGACGGCGGUGUUUGGCACCUCGAUGUCGGCUCAUCACAUCCUGGGGCUGAAGUAGGUCCCAAGGGUAUGGCUGUUCGCCAUUUAAAGUGGUACGCGAGCUGGGUUUAGAACGUCGUGAGACAGUUCGGUCCCUAUCUGCCGUGGGCGCUGGAGAACUGAGGGGGGCUGCUCCUAGUACGAGAGGACCGGAGUGGACGCAUCACUGGUGUUCGGGUUGUCAUGCCAAUGGCACUGCCCGGUAGCUAAAUGCGGAAGAGAUAAGUGCUGAAAGCAUCUAAGCACGAAACUUGCCCCGAGAUGAGUUCUCCCUGACUCCUUGAGAGUCCUGAAGGAACGUUGAAGACGACGACGUUGAUAGGCCGGGUGUGUAAGCGCAGCGAUGCGUUGAGCUAACCGGUACUAAUGAACCA